UGAGCAAUCUGCCCUUCUCUUCGGAAUAAGCGUUGGAAACGACGUCUAAUGCCGAAUACGACCUCCUUUCGCAUGAUCGGAGGUGGAAAGCUCCGGCGGAGAAGGAUGAGCUCGCGGCCUAUCAGCUAGUUGGUGUGGGUAAUGGCCCACCAAGGCGACGACGGGUAGCCGGCCUGAGAGGGUGACCGGCCACACUGGGACUGAGGCACGGCCCAGACUCCGUACGGGAGGNAGCG
rnacentral:rRNA from 1 species